UAUGGAGAGUUUGAUCCUGGCUCAGAGUGAACGCUGGCGGCGUGCCUAAUACAUGCAAGUCGAACGAUGAAGCUUUCUAGCUUGCUAGAAUGCUGAUUAGUGGCGCACGGGUGAGUAACGCAUAGGUUAUGUGCCUCUUAGUUUGGGAUAGCCAUUGGAAACGAUGAUUAAUACCAGAUACUCCCUACGGGGGAAAGAUUUAUCGCUAAGAGAUCAGCCUAUGUCCUAUCAGCUUGUUGGUAAGGUAAUGGCUUACCAAGGCUAUGACGGGUAUCCGGCCUGAGAGGGUGAACGGACACACUGGAACUGAGACACGGUCCAGACUCCUACGGGAGGCAGCAGUAGGGAAUAUUGCUCAAUGGGGGAAACCCUGAAGCAGCAACGCCGCGUGGAGGAUGAAGGUUUUAGGAUUGUAAACUCCUUUUGUUAGAGAAGAUAAUGACGGUAUCUAACGAAUAAGCACCGGCUAACUCCGUGCCAGCAGCCGCGGUAAUACGGAGGGUGCAAGCGUUACUCGGAAUCACUGGGCGUAAAGAGCGCGUAGGCGGGAUAGUCAGUCAGGUGUGAAAUCCUAUGGCUUAACCAUAGAACUGCAUUUGAAACUACUAUUCUAGAGUGUGGGAGAGGUAGGUGGAAUUCUUGGUGUAGGGGUAAAAUCCGUAGAGAUCAAGAGGAAUACUCAUUGCGAAGGCGACCUGCUGGAACAUUACUGACGCUGAUUGCGCGAAAGCGUGGGGAGCAAACAGGAUUAGAUACCCUGGUAGUCCACGCCCUAAACGAUGGAUGCUAGUUGUUGGAGGGCUUAGUCUCUCCAGUAAUGCAGCUAACGCAUUAAGCAUCCCGCCUGGGGAGUACGGUCGCAAGAUUAAAACUCAAAGGAAUAGACGGGGACCCGCACAAGCGGUGGAGCAUGUGGUUUAAUUCGAAGAUACACGAAGAACCUUACCUAGGCUUGACAUUGAGAGAAUCCGCUAGAAAUAGUGGAGUGUCUGGCUUGCCAGACCUUGAAAACAGGUGCUGCACGGCUGUCGUCAGCUCGUGUCGUGAGAUGUUGGGUUAAGUCCCGCAACGAGCGCAACCCCCUUUCUUAGUUGCUAACAGGUCAUGCUGAGAACUCUAGGGAUACUGCCUCCGUAAGGAGGAGGAAGGUGGGGACGACGUCAAGUCAUCAUGGCCCUUACGCCUAGGGCUACACACGUGCUACAAUGGGGUGUACAAAGAGAAGCAAUACUGCGAAGUGGAGCCAAUCUUCAAAACACCUCUCAGUUCGGAUUGUAGGCUGCAACUCGCCUGCAUGAAGCUGGAAUCGCUAGUAAUCGCAAAUCAGCCAUGUUGCGGUGAAUACGUUCCCGGGUCUUGUACUCACCGCCCGUCACACCAUGGGAGUUGUGUUUGCCUUAAGUCAGGAUGCUAAAUUGGCUACUGCCCACGGCACACACAGCGACUGGGGUGAAGUCGUAACAAGGUAACCGUAGGUGAACCUGCGGUUGGAUCACCUCCUU
rnacentral:rRNA from 1 species